rnacentral:lncRNA from 1 species
GGAAAAGAAGAGUUCAAAUCAACAAAUCAAAUAAAUAUAAAUAAUAAUAAAGAGUAUUCAUAUAAUAACGAUGAUCAAGAAACACAAAAUGAAAUAAUACAAGAUACGAACGAUAAUGAAGUUUUUAAAAAUUCCGGUGAUAAAAGUGAAAAUGACAAUUUCUGUUAUGAAUGUUAUCAUGCAGGAAAUUUAAUUUGUUGCGACCAUUGUAUUAGAUCCUAUCAUUUAUAUUGCUUAAGCGAAUUAAAUAGACCAUUGACAGAUUAUAACUACUGGUAUUGUCCUAUUUGUAAAAAAAAUGGCGUAUCUAUGGGCGUCUCUUACAAGCGGAAGAAGAGAUUAAAAACGAUAAGUACACAAGAGAAAAAAAAAGAAAAAGUAAAACAGAAAACUGAAGGCAGCAACUACACAGGUCAAAUAAAUGUAGGGGAUAACUAUCAAGUAUCAAAUAUAACUACUUUCUUUUUAAAUAGUAAUUCAGAGACAUAUGAAGAAGAAAACACAUCAGAGUUAGUUUAUUCACCUCACCUACUAGAGCGAAUGAAAGAAUGUUACUUAAGUGAAGGACAGUAUGAAUUAGUUUUAAAAAAUGAUUACGAGUUGGCUGUUUUUAUUAAGGAGCUAGCUCAGAAUUGGAAAUGUCAAAUGGGAUGGUAUCCAUUUACUCCUGAAUAUGCUUUUAAGAUUUUACAUCGAGUGGAUUAUAACCCUAAGAGGGCUAUUGAACUGCUGAAAAGUUCUGAUUUUAAUUUUUUGGGUAAAAAAAUAAAAAUAAGGAACAGCCACAUACCUAACAUAUACAUAUUUAUACUCAUAUAUUUAAA